rnacentral:rRNA from 1 species
UACCAGCACCCCGAGUGGUCGGGACGAUUAUUGGGCCUAAAGCAUCCGUAGCCGGUCCUACAAGUCUUCCGUUAAAUCCACCUGCUUAACAGAUGGGCUGCGGAAGAUACUAUAGGGCUAGGAGGCGGGAGAGGCAAGCGGUACUCAGUGGGUAGGGGUAAAAUCCUCUGAUCCAGUGAAGACCACCAGUGGCGAAGGCGGCUUGCCAGAACGCGCUCGACGGUGAGGGAUGAAAGCUGGGGGAGCAAACCGG